GAUUAGAGGCAUUGGGGGCG
rnacentral:snRNA from 1 species